GCUCAGGAUGAACGCUAGCUACAGGCUUAACACAUGCAAGUCGAGGGGUAGCAGGGUAGCAAUACCGCUGACGACCGGCGCACGGGUGAGUAACACGUAUCCAACCUUCCCAUAACUCAGGGAUAGCCUUUCGAAAGAAAGAUUAAUACCUGAUAGUACUUAAGAAAGGCAUCUUUUUUAGGUUAAAGAUUUAUUGGUUAUGGAUGGGGAUGCGUUCCAUUAGAUAGUUGGUGAGGUAACGGCUCACCAAGUCUUCGAUGGAUAGGGGUUCUGAGAGGAAGGUCCCCCACAUUGGUACUGAGACACGGACCAAACUCCUACGGGAGGCAGCAGUGAGGAAUAUU
rnacentral:rRNA from 1 species